UGCCUUUGUGUUGCCCUUUCAUUGUAUUAUUCAUGAACAGGGUGUCAACUAAGGCAUACAGUGACUCUUGUGGUUGUGACAGAAAUUUAAUCAUCACUGAUCCAUUUCUUCACAAACAACUGCAAGCACAAAC
rnacentral:snoRNA from 1 species